CGGGGCAGACGCAGAGGGAGUGAGGGCAGGGGAAGGAGGCGGAGGAGGAGCGGCAGGAGGAGGGCUCCGGGAGAAACCGACGAAGGCAGGAAGAGGAGGAGGAGGAGGUGGAGGCAGAGGCGGGCCAGGCCGGCCCCCUGGGUUCCCGGGUCGUGGGCGUUCCUGAGGCCGCAGAGCCCUAGGUCCCUCACCCAGCUCUGCUUCACUUGGAGCAGUACCAAGGUCUCAGGGCCUACUGUGCAGUUCCUGGUUUACAGUCCCGAGCAAAGACAGAGCCCAAGCCCUGCGGUCUUGGGUAUCAAACAAUCCCGGGAUGGCCAAACAAGCGAAUAUUCGCCAUGGCAGUGGCAGCUGGAAGGGUGGCUCACGGAGCUGACGCCCUCCGCAGAGGGCUUCCAGGUAAUAGCGUGAACAACCACAGAAUGAAAAAGAGUGCUGUUGUUAAAGGUAUCCAGCAUCAUGGACCCAACCAUCAUCUGGAGUUUCUCACUUCAUCUCUGACAUAUGUAUACAUCCAUGAAGCCAGCAUCACAAUCAAGAUGGUGAACAUCUCGCUUACCCCAGAAGUUUUUUGUGCCCUCUCACUCCUCCAUAUUCCUCCAGCCUCAGGAGUUUGGAUCCAGAGACACACAUAG
rnacentral:lncRNA from 13 species